GAUGUCACGACGUCAUGAUGUCACGACGUCAUGAUGUCACGAGGUCCUGAUGUCACGAUGUCAUGACGUCAUGAUGUCACGACGUCACGAUGUC
rnacentral:miRNA from 14 species